rnacentral:rRNA from 1 species
UACGUAGGGUGCGAGCGUUGUCCGGAAUUAUUGGGCGUAAAGAGCUCGUAGGCGGCUUGUCGCGUCGUCUGUGAAAUCCCGCGGCUCAACUGCGGGUCUGCAGUCGAUACGGGCAGGCUAGAGUUCGGUAGGGGAGACUGGAAUUCCUGGUGUAGCGGUGAAAUGCGCAGAUAUCAGGAGGAACACCGGUGGCGAAGGCGGGGUCUCUGGGGCCGAUACUGACGCUGAGGAGCGAAAAGCGUGGGGGAGCAAAACAGG